GACGAACGCUGGCGGCGUGCUUAACACAUGCAAGUCGAACGAUGAUGCUGGAGCUUGCUCCAGUUGAUUAGUGGCGAACGGGUGAGUAACACGUGAGCAAUCUGCCCUUGACUCUGGGAUAACUGCGGGAAACUGUAGCUAAUACCGGAUACUUUCACCGGAAGGCAUCUUCUGGUGAUGAAAGAAUUUCGGUCAGGGAUGAGCUCGCGGCCUAUCAGCUUGUUGGUGAAGUAACGGCUCACCAAGGCGACGACGGGUAACCGGCCUGAGAGGGUGACCGGUCACACUGGGACUGAGACACGGCCCAGACUCCUACGGGAGGCAGCAGUGGGGAAUAUUGCACAACGGGCGCAAGCCUGAUGCAGCAACGCCGCGUGAGGGAUGAAGGCCUUCGGGUUGUAAACCUCUUUUAGCAGGGAGGAAGCGAAAGUGACGGUACCUGCAGAAAAAGCACCGGCUAACUACGUGCCAGCCGCCGCCGUAA
rnacentral:rRNA from 1 species